GAUGAACGCUAGCGACAGGCUUAACACAUGCAAGUCGAGGGGCAGCGAGGGCGUAGCAAUACGCCUGUCGGCGACCGGCGCACUGGUGAGUAACACGUAUGCGACCUGCCCCCUACAGGGGUAUAACCCGUAGAAAUGCGGACUAAUCCCCCAUAGUCCUGGGUGCUGCAUGGCAUUCAGGGGAAAGGCCAGCCGGUAGGGGAUGGGCAUGCGGCGCAUUAGCUAGUUGGCGGGGCAACGGCCCACCAAGGCGACGAUGCGUAGGGGUUCUGAGAGGAUGAACGGCCACACUGGAACUGAGACACGGUCCAGACUCCUACGGAGGCAGCAGUGGGAAUCUUCCGCAAUGGGCGAAAGCCUGACGGAGCAACGCCGCGUGAGUGAUGACGGCC
rnacentral:rRNA from 1 species